UACGAAGGGGGCUAGCGUUGCUCGGAAUCACUGGGCGUAAAGCGCACGUAGGCGGAUCCUUAAGUCGAGGGUGAAAUCCUGGAGCUCAACUCCAGAACUGCCUUCGAUACUGAGGAUCUCGAGUCCGGGAGAGGUGAGUGGAACUGCGAGUGUAGAGGUGAAAUUCGUAGAUAUUCGCAAGAACACCAGUGGCGAAGGCGGCUCACUGGCCCGGUACUGACGCUGAGGCGCGAAAGCGUGGGGAGCAAACAGG
rnacentral:rRNA from 1 species